rnacentral:pre_miRNA from 7 species
UUCUACAGCAAUUGUAACCUGAUCUAUGUAAGACCCCCUUUCGGGGACCCCCACUCUAGUCUCAGGAGUGAGAGAGCACCCAAAGAAACACGAGAAUCC